rnacentral:rRNA from 2 species
CCAACGCUGGCGGCGUGCCUAAUACAUGCAAGUCGAACGCAAUCUUUGANCAAUGAGUGCUUGCACUCAGCGGUNAAAGUGCGAGUGGCGAACGGGUGAGUAACACGUGGGCAAUCUGCCCAAAAGUGGGGGAUAACACUUGGAAACAGGUGCUAAUACCGCAUCAACCGGCUGACCGCAUGGUCGGCCGGGCAAAGACGGCGUCAGCUGUCGCUUUUGGAUGAGCCCGCGGCGUAUUAACUAGUUGGUAAGGUAACGGCUUACCAAGGUGAUGAUACGUAGCCGAAUCUGAGAGGUUGAUACGGCCACAUUGGGA